GAUGAACGCUGGCGGCGUGCCUAAUACAUGCAAGUCGAGCGAACAGACGAGGAGCUUGCUCCUCUGACGUUAGCGGCGGACGGGUGAGUAACACGUGGAUAACCUACCUAUAAGACUGGGAACACUUCGGGAAACCGGCGCUAAUACCGGAUAAUAUAUUGAACCGUAUGGUUCAAUAGUGAAAGACGGUUUUGCUGUCACUUCUAGCUGGAUACGCGCCGCAUUAGCUAGUUGGUACGGUAACGGCUUAGCAAGGCAACGAUGCGUAGGCGACCUGACAGGGUGAUCGGCCACAUGGGAGCGUGGACACGGUCCAGACUCCUGCGGGAGGCAGCAGUAGGGAACGUGCCGCAAUAGGCGAAAGCUUGGCGGAGCAACGCCGCGUGUGUGAUGAAGGUCUUCGGAGCGGAAAGCUCUGUUAUUAGGGAAGAACAAAUGUGUAAUUUACUAUGCACGUCUUGACGGUACCUAGUCAGAAAGCCACGGCUAACUACGUG
rnacentral:rRNA from 1 species